AUUGAACGCUGGCGGCAGGCCUAACACAUGCAAGUCGAGCGGAUGAGUGGAGCUUGCUCCAUGAUUCAGCGGCGGACGGGUGAGUAAUGCCUAGGAAUCUGCCUGGUAGUGGGGGACAACGUUUCGAAAGGAACGCUAAUACCGCAUACGUCCUACGGGAGAAAGUGGGGGAUCUUCGGACCUCACGCUAUCAGAUGAGCCUAGGUCGGAUUAGCUAGUUGGUGAGGUAAAGGCUCACCAAGGCGACGAUCCGUAACUGGUCUGAGAGGAUGAUCAGUCACACUGGAACUGAGACACGGUCCAGACUCCUACGGGAGGCAGCAGUGGGGAAUAUUGGACAAUAGGCGAAAGCCUGAUCCAGCCAUGCCGCGUGUGUGAAGAAGGUCUUCGGACUGUAAAGCACUUUAAGUUGGGAGGAAGGGCAGUAAGUUAAUACCUUGCUGUUUUGACGUUACCAACAGAAUAAGCACCGGCUAACUUCGUG
rnacentral:rRNA from 1 species